rnacentral:rRNA from 1 species
UACGUAGGGUGCAAGCGUUAAUCGGAAUUACUGGGCGUAAAGCGUGCGCAGGCGGUUAUGUAAGACAGAUGUGAAAUCCCCGGGCUCAACCUGGGAACUGCAUUUGUGACUGCAUAGCUAGAGUACGGUAGAGGGGGAUGGAAUUCCGCGUGUAGCAGUGAAAUGCGUAGAUAUGCGGAGGAACACCGAUGGCGAAGGCAGCCCCCUGGGCUGACACUGACGCUCAGGCACGAAAGCGUGGGGAGCAAACAGG